CGUCGACCCGUAAGCGAGCAGCCCGGUGGCGAACGCCGCCAAGCCGUAGAUGUGAAACAUAGGGACCGUGCAGAUGAAUCUCUGCUCUCCCUGAGAUCCAACGUCAGAUCCGAACCGGUUCACGACGGUCUGCACCAUCGCGAUAAGGUUCCGGUGAGAAGAGACCACUCCUUUGCUCAUCCCGGUGGUUCCGGAAGAGUAAAGCAAAGUCGCCGUGUCGUCCUGGUCAACUCGCUCCGCGACUCGGGUCCCACUCGGCUCCCUCCUCAUCAUCUCCGCCAACCUCCUCACCUCCCCCGCCGAGUCAACUCGCUCCUCGUCCAUGAGCACGAUCGGGAGCCUCUUCUUGGAUCCCCCCGACGCGGCGGCGAUCUUGGGGAGGAGCUCCGCCGUGGUGAAGGCCAUCACGGGGUUCGAGUCUUUGAUCUGUUUGGCGAUCUCGGCGGCGGUGUUGAGAGGGUUCGUGGUAGUGAUGACGGCGCCGAGGGACAUCACGGAGAGACAGACGACGGGGAACAAGAUGGAGUUAGGGGAGAGGAGAAGGACGACGUGGCCCUUGCGGAUCCCCAUGUCGGAGAGACAGUCGCCGACGGACUCCACGGCGCGCCACAGCUCGGCGAAGGUGAGGUUUUUGCCGGUGGAGGCGUCGAUGAAGGCGGUACGGCCGAGAUGAGCCUGAGAAGAUAUGAAAGUGGUGACGUCGAGGGAGGGAUUCGGCGGGAGAGGAAUCGGCUUCCGUUUGCUGUAGAAAGUGGAGUUCGAGUUGCAGAAACCACUUCGAGAAUCCACUGACGCCAUCUCUUUUCUCUCGGACACAAUCUAAUCUGUAUGCGUUUCUCUGUAGCUUUGAACUAUAUUUUUAAAAUGAUUGUCCGAGUCAGAGAACAAGUUUGACUACUACAAAGUCAUCGCCGCCGACCACCAGCGUGUUUUAUUCCGCGAUAUUUUUAGUUAGUUAGUGGCACGUGAAAGUUAUGGUUUUAGUAAGAUUAAAACGGCGUGGACCGCUUUGCGAUUACAUGGGCCAUAAUGGGCCUAGGCCUUUUUCAACAUAUUAGCCCCAUAUUAUACUUUGGGAACUUGGAAAAAAAUACAAUGGAACUAGAGUUUAUUGAUUUUAAGAGUUAGAGAAAUUUAUUAAUUUAGUAAAAAAGUUAUAAAUAGUUUUGAAUGUUUAAAAAUUCUAUUAAAAAAUUAACUUCAAUCUUUUUUUUUUUUUUUGUCAUCAGCAUAAACAGACUCAUACAGACUCUGUGAACCAAACUGGGAGAUGUCGAUCCAUGUGAACGACGAAAGACGGCUGCUUCCUGACAUGGUGAGACAGCAUCUCCCCCUACUCUCUUAGCAAAGUUGAUUGAGAAGACUAUAAGGAAUAAAUUUUCAAAAAUUCAGAAGAAGAAAGACAGGAAGCUUGAAGGUGGUCUACAAUUCUGGUUCUCAACCAGAUAAAGCUAUUUAGAGGACGGAAGUUUUGAAGUUUGAGUUUAUUUUUAAAAAGAGUUGUAGCUGAGUAUAAAAAUUGGACACACAUAGUUGUAAACAUGUUUUUCUUUUUUGAAUUAAAUUUAACAUUUAAUUCAAAAAAAAGUUCCAUUUUCUGAGUUAAUUGUUUAGAAUUCAAAUGUUAAUACAAAUUCUAAUAGAAUCAUAGAAUUAUUAAAAGUCAAUUUUUGAAUAAUUAUAUUUAUAUAAUUAAACAAAGAUAAAAGCAAUAAUUAUUCAAAUCUAUAGACCAACAAUCAUAAAAUUUUAAUAUUUUUGACAAUCAUUACAAAUUCAGCUCCACUAACAUCCACUUAUAAUAAUGUGUUUGUUACUUUUUGAAUUGAUUUAUGUUCACAACUUUAUAAGAUGAUAAUGUCCCUUGGUAUUUUCUAAUCAUUCUAUUUCUUACAGGUAUAUACAGCUUUUGUCUACCAGAAGUAAAAUCAAACAGGAGACAUCUUAGCUGUAAUAAUAUUAAGAAGUGAAACUCUGGUCUGUAUCAGCCGCCGGAAAAUACACCCCAACUCAAUCUCAAGCUCCUCAACAGCGAUCUGUGCAGCCUCCAACCUUGUACUCGCGCUCUGCACCGCUACUUCGUCCCACACAUCCUCCAAACAGCAAAACCUCAUCGUAAAGAUUGAAGACAUUGACCUUUUGCUCUGUUUUCUCUCGAGCCAAGGAAUACACACGAGCGAGAACAGAGACUCAACCAUAGUCACAAUAGCUCUUCUCACUUCUUUCAAAACCUCCGCAACGAACAGAAGGUUCUGCUCUAUCCUCUGCAUCACCAACGUUCCUCUUCCUCCCCCUUUGAUACUCUUUAGAGUGUUCAAGCACUUUAGUGUCUCCUUCUUGAGCUUGUUCCUGUGCCUGUUAUACGCAGCGAUCUUCACGUGCAUGUUUGAUUCGUUGCAGCGUAGAGUCAGUUGAAGCUCUUUCAGGCUAUGUCUCACGAGCGCCAUGACAUCUUUGGACACGUUACAGACGUCUAACAUUGUUACUGAAGCUUCAGAGACUUGCUCGAUCCAUUUCUCUUUGCCUUCUUGACACAGAGACUCUCUUGCUUCUGGACAGUGAUCGAGGAGGUAGUUUGCGCAGUCUUGUAACUCUCUCAAACCUUCCAAGUCCAUUUGCGCCAUUUGAUUGAAACCUAGAAAGGGCGUUUUGCUUGAUUCACAAGGAAAAAGUGAGGAAAUCAAAGGAAAUAGGUUUAUGAUUAGGGUUUACUAAAAUUUUAGGGAGGCUCAAUAUAUAUGUAAUGUAUAUAGAUUGGAGAGGAGGCAGAUCUGAGAAUGAUGAGGAAAGUACGAGGAAGGAACCUUGGGGUGUUCUUUUGUACGGACGUGAAGACAUAACAGGUCAUUUAGGUUAUAAUUUCAAACUAGUUGCAGUUCGGUGUAUUAAGGAACCUUCCGUAUAAUACCGGAUUAAGCUACGUUAUGGAUUUAAUCAGAUACUGUUGUCUACACAACAAAACAAAAUUUACUAUUUUAAAUGUAAAUUAUAAUCGAAUUCCGUUUGUCAGAAAUCAUACAUGAACCAAGCCAGCUAGUAUAAACUUGUAAUUAUCUGAAUUGUAAGGAAUCAAUAUGAGAAAUAAUUAUUUUUAUAUUUAUUUUUAUAUAUGAGAUGUUCCACGGUUUUAUUUGUAGUGCCAUGUCGGUUUAAUAAUGCCAUAUGCAUUGAAGGUUUGAAAGAUUUGAAUUUCAGGAAAGUAUGUUUUACAUUGAAUCAAGUCAUGUGACAGGUUCAUAAUAAAAUGGAAAUAUAUUCGUACGUGCAAGAAAAUUUUUGAUCAUGCAUGUUAAAUGUUAUUAUAACAUUUUGUCCAAAUCUUUGAUUAGUAGACAAGCAGAUUCUAAGUAGAUUCGUAUAAACAGUGUAGCACCUGAAAUGGUCGAAGUCACUCCAAGUUUCCACCUCAUAAUUUGUUCUGUUGUUAGAGCAUAAAUCUAAUUAUUUGAUUUUCCAUUAAGUUUACAUAUAACCUCGUCACCGUACUGACAAACCUAAGUUUCAUAUGCAUGGCGGCACUUAAAAUAACUAACAAACCUUUUAUUUUGGUUGGUUAAGGUUUUAAUCAAAUGUAGAUGAUCUCAAACUCAACAUUCAAAACGAACACCGUCUAUGAUGAUAUGAUGAACCUUUUUCGAAUCUUAAUAUGAUGCACAACUCUGUCUCUGUAGUCAAAGCUAAAGUGAAGUUUUUUCUAAAAGACAUGACCAGAGUUCAAGUGUCAAGAGUAUAAAGAGAGACUCAUACCCAAACCAAGCUUCUUGGCUCUAGCUAGCUCUUAAACGCUGCCUCAUACAGAAAGACAAACACGAAUUCACCUAAACCGAAGGAUACAAAGCACAAUAUAUUACAUAUAUAUAAAACAUCGUCAAUCGUCACCGUACUGACAAGUGACAAUGCGGUCUUGACAGUUGACCCUACAAUACAAGUGCUGAAGUUGCUUGACAACAUCUUGUGUGCCGUCAGGACUCCCAUCAUCCACAACAAUGAUCUCAAAAUCAACAUCUCAUACAUCAUACAAUAAGUGCCAAAGCAAAUCAACCUUUACCGCUAAGCAUCAGGUCAUAUAGUGACGGUGGAGCUAAAGAGCGGGGAGCUAUACAGAGGAAGCAUGAUCGAGUGUGAGGAUAACUGGAACUGUCAGCUCGAAGACAUCACCUUUACCGCUAAGGUCAAUCACCUCUCACCUAUACUUUAUCAAUACGGUGUUAGCUCUCUCUUUCAUUGUUACUAUUGGGGGCAAAUGCGUAAACAUGGUUUUGGAGUUUUGUACUUGGAACUUUACAUUUAAAGUUUAUAAGUUGCUUUUUUGGGAUCAUAGUCUCUAAAGUUUGCACAACUGAAAGCUUUUUGUUCCUUAUAAUAGAUUGAUUACCUUGAGAGUUUGCGUUUUUUUUUAAUAAAACAAGUGUCGUUGGAGUUUCCAGUUAUGAGUUUGGGAAUCAUAUAUUCAUUCAUUUUUGAAGUGUUGUUUUAUGUUAAUGUUAUUUCGUAUACAGUUUUAAUAACGUUUUAGCUUGUUAAUUGUCACUCAACUUUUGUGUCACACAGGAUGGUAAGGUAUCACAGCUUGAGCAUGUCUUCAUUCGAGGCAGCAAAGUCAGGUGCUGUUAACACUUCUUUUUUACUCGUGCUUGUUUCCUAUUUUUUCAUGGGGAUCAUCUGUUAUUAGUAAUUGACCUAUGGAGAGAUCUUGACAGGUUCAUGGUCAUACCUGACAUUCUCAAGCAUGCUCCAAUGUUCAAGCGCUUAGAUGCUAGAAUCAAGGUCUGAAACCCUUGAUGAAGAAUGAUGUCAAAGUCUCUAUGUAUAUCUUCAACUUACAUAAUGCCUCUCAAUUGAUGCAGGGAAAGAGCGGAUCACUGGGUGUUGGCAGAGGUAGAGCUGCAAUGCGAGGAAAAGUAAGUUAUCUCUCUCUCUCUCUCUCACUCUCAUUAAUUAACUCUCAAGACACCAUUGUAAAUUUGAUAUUGUUUGUCCUUAAUGCUGGUUUUUUUUCUCUGUCAUUACUAAUUGUUGGAUCCAUGAUAAAGGCUCCGGCUACAGGAGCGAGCCCGAAGGCACGGGGGCCAAAGCGUAGUUAAGUAACCCGAAGGUGUGGAACAACGGAACGGUGCAGAGGAAGGUCUGGUUCGGCUCCAGUGGCUCGGCGAUGUAUCUCGCCACGUGCGCUAUUAAGUUUCCGUGAGAGAUUAUCACUCCUUUGCUUCGCCCUGUGGUUCCGGAGGAGUACAGAAGCAUCGCCGUUUCGUCCCGGUUAACUCGGUUUCUGACUCGCCGCUCGCUCGGUUUCUUUUUCAUCAUCUCGCUCAAGCUCCCGACGACUCGGACUCCGAGAGUGGAUCCCACCCGCUCUUCGUCCUCCUCCGUGAGGACGACGGAGAUGGCCCCCGAGGCGGCGAGUUUGGGAGCCUGGUCAGGAGUCGCGAAGGCGAGCUUUGGGUUGCAGUCUGCGACCUGUCUGGAGAUUUCUGAGGCGGUGUUGAGAGGAUUCGCGGUGGUGACUACGGCGCCGAGAGACAUGACGGAGAGGCAGACGAGAGGGAUGGAGAUGGAGUUGGGAGAGAGGAUGAGUACUACGUCGCCUCUCCUUAUUCCCAUGUCGCGAUGGAGACAGUCGGCUACGUUGUCUACGGAUCUCCAGAGAUCGGAGAAGCUUAUACGGUGGCCUGUGGCGGCGUCGAUGAAGGCGGUGGUGCCGUGGUGAGCUUGAGAGGAGAUAAAUGUGGUGACGUCAAGGGAGGAGUUAGCCGGGAGUGGCAAUGGGUUGCGUUUACUGUAGAAUGUGGAGUUUGCAUAGCAAAAACCGUUUCUAGGAUGGAUUGGAGAUAAAGAAGAAGAUGAUGAUGAUCUUUUACAAACAGCCAUUUUGUUCAGGUGGUUAAAUGGAUGAUGCAGCCCUGAGAUUGUUAAUAACAUAUAAAACUAAUUUAUAAUCUGAAGGCAUAAGCUGAAAUGGUUUGUAUAAAAAAAUUACUGGUUGGUUGAACAAAAGAAAAAGCAAAAAGAAAUAGCUGAACCAUAGUCUUUGAUGAACUAGCAAACCUGGAGUUGCCAAACCGGGUUUUGAUGAAGUGUUGAAUGCAUCUGAAGAGAACUUCCGGGGAUUAAGGUGCAAGCCAACAAAGGGAAGGAGCCGAGGAAGAGCUAUGCAGGGCAGCGAGCCAAUGGAAAAGAUCCUACCAGAGUGUGAAUUUCCCCCAGAACGCAGAGUUGAUGAUACCAUACGUGUUAAAUGAGUGAUAGUGAAUCUACCAAACCCCACCAUAGAUACUGCAAGAGUCAUCUCAAAGAAUACCCCAAGAACUAAGACAAAUCUUAGAGUGGAGUUGGUCUCUUUUACUUAGGUUGACUAUUUUUCUGGACGGUACAUUUACAGUCAAGUAUUUAAGGUAUGACCAAUUAUACAUUUAUACCCAAGUAUAAUAGCAAUACUCUUAAAAGGCAAACCAGUGCUAGUAUAUAUAGAUAGAUAGAUACCAAGACCUCGUUGAAUGUAAGUAUAGUUCCAGUUUGUUCAUUUUCCCAUGUUCAAGAACUUUUAUUACCAAACGACAUGAUGUCCCAUACGAAAAACGUGAAAUUGCCAGAACAAAUCCAAGAAUUAGGUGUAGUCUAGUAUCUUACUUAGCUUAAUUCUUCUAGCCUUAGCUACACACACCCGUCCUAAAAAUUUGGCACUGAGCUAAGAUUUGAUGAUAAACAUGAUUUGAAAGUAGGCUCUAUAUUUUUAAAUAAACAACAUUGUUCUUCACAUUAUAUAUGUGUAAAUCAUCCUCAGAGUUAUAUAUUUCACAGAACUGACAAGAGUUACUACAAUACAAGUAACAAUAAUGCAUGGAGAUUGGCUGACAGCACAAGACUCGUAACAAUUUCAAAGCUUGGAGUUGGAAGUUGCGAGCUUGAUGAGAUCCUUGCGCAGAAUCUUUCCUGAUGGAUUUUUUGGUAUGGAAGAUACAAAAGCCACUUUUCGUACCCUCUUGUACGGCGCCACUUGUUUUGAUACAAACUCCAUCACUGACUUCUCUGACAACAAGCUUCCUGUUUUCUUUACAACGUACGCCAUCGGAAACUGCCCUACUUCUCUGUCCGGAAACCUGUAAAUAACCAAAACAUUAUAAACUCAAAUCUUGUUUAUAUGGUCAAAUAUAUAAUAAGAACACAAAAAUGAGGUGAUGUUGCUGUAACUUACGGGAUAACUGCGGCAUCAGCGAUUUCAGGAUGAGUGAGCAACAAAGCCUCUAGCUCAGCUGGAGGGACCUACGCAGCGAUGCCAAAACAAGUUUAGCACGAUUUCUCGAGAAGCUUAUCAUAUACACACAAGCAUAUAAAUUUUAACGCUCAGAAAGUACUUAAUGGUUCAACAGAACAAACCAGUUCAUGUGUUCUAGCAAUUUGGUCAAAACCAAACACAUUACUAAAACAAAAAAAGAUGAAUUGGCGCAUCAGCAUUUCACUAAGGACUACAUUCUAUAGCAGCAAUAUGGAUCAUGUUUAAAUCUGUGAUGCAUCAUAUGUUACCUGGUAGCCUUUGUACUUUAUCAGUUCCUUUAACCGAUCAACCACAAAAAUGAAUCCAUCUUCAUCAAUAUAGCAGAGAUCUCCAGUCCUUAACCAUCCUUCAGAAUCAAUAGUAGAGCUCGUAGCUUCCUCAUUGCUGAAAUAACCUGCCAAGAACAACAACACCACCCAAAAAUGUUAAUAACAAUCAUUCCAGCUUUGAUGAUCUCCGACAUCAAGAACGACAUAAAAGUACCUUUCAUUAUGGAAGGACCCUUAAGCCAGAGCUCACCGGUACGGUUCGGUCCAAGAACCCGACCCGUGACCGGAUCCACAAUCCUCCCUUCCAUACUUGCCGACAACUUCCCCGCGGUGCCGUAUCUCCGGCUCUCCUCAACAGUAUCCGUAGAGGCUCCAAUACCCGUUGACUCGGUCAACCCAUACCCUUGUAAGAUCUUGACCGUUGGAUACUUAUCCAUAAACCCCUCCGUCACCUCCUUGCUCAACGGAGCUCCUCCGCACAAAACCGUAUGCAGAGAGCUCAGAUCGUACUUAGCAUUGAUCUGCUCCGCCCCGUUGACCAUGGCCACGAGGAUCGGCGGCACGAGAGGGAGAUACGUCGCUUGGUACUUCCCUAUCGCCGACAACAUCUCGCCCAUCUCGAACUUGGAGAGAACGAUGAUCGUCGACCCGUAAGCGAGCAGCCCGGUGGCGAACGCCGCCAAGCCGUAGAUGUGAAACAUAGGGACCGUGCAGAUGAAUCUCUGCUCUCCCUGAGAUCCAACGUCAGAUCCGAACCGGUUCACGACGGUCUGCACCAUCGUGAUAAGGUUCCGGUGAGAAGACACAACUCCUUUACUCAUCCCGGUGGUUCCGGAAGAGUAAAGCAAAGUCGCCGUGUCGUCCUGGUCAACUCGCUCCGCGACUCGGGUCCCACUCGGCUCCCUCCUCAUCAUCUCCGCCAACCUCCUCACCU
rnacentral:lncRNA from 1 species